GACGAACGCUGGCGGCGUGCUUAACACAUGCAAGUCGAACGAAGAGCGAUGGAAGCUUGCUUCUAUCAAUCUUAGUGGCGAACGGGUGAGUAACGCGUAAUCAACCUGCCCUUCAGAGGGGGACAACAGUUGGAAACGACUGCUAAUACCGCAUACGAUCUAAUCUUGGCAUCGAGGAUAGAUGAAAGGUGGCCUCUACAUGUAAGCUAUCACUGAAGGAGGGGAUUGCGUCUGAUUAGCUAGUUGGAGGGGUAACGGCCCACCAAGGCGAUGAUCAGUAGCCGGUCUGAGAGGAUGAACGGCCACAUUGGGACUGAGACACGGCCCAGACUCCUACGGGAGGCAGCAGUGGGGAAUCUUCCGCAAUGGACGAAAGUCUGACGGAGCAACGCCGCGUGAGUGAUGACGGCCCUUUCGGGGUUGUAAAAGCUCUGUUAAAUCGGGACGAAAAGGCCCUUCCUG
rnacentral:rRNA from 1 species